UACAGAGGUCUCAAGCGUUGUUCGGAUUCAUUGGGCGUAAAGGGUGCGUAGGCGGCGCGGUAAGUCGGGUGUGAAAUCUCGGAGCUUAACUCCGAAACUGCAUUCGAUACUGCCGUGCUUGAGGACUGGAGAGGAGACUGGAAUUUACGGUGUAGCGGUGAAAUGCGUAGAUAUCGUAAGGAAGACCAGUGGCGAAGGCGGGUCUCUGGACAGUUCCUGACGCUGAGGCACGAAAGCGUGAGGAGCGAACAGG
rnacentral:rRNA from 1 species